AACUUUCAACAACGGAUCUCUUGGUUCUCGCAUCGAUGAAGAACGCAGCAAAAUGCGAUAAGUAUUGUGAAUUGCAGGAUUUUGUGAAUCAUCGAAUUUUUGAACGCACAUUGCACCUUCUGGUAUUCCGGAGGGUAUGCCUGUUUGAGCGUCAUUU
rnacentral:rRNA from 1 species